rnacentral:rRNA from 1 species
UACGGGGGGGGCAAGCGUUGUUCGGAAUUACUGGGCGUAAAGGGCUCGUAGGUGGCCAACUAAGUCAGACGUGAAAUCCCUCGGCUUAACCGGGGAACUGCGUCUGAUACUGGAUGGCUGGAGAUUGGGAGAGGGAUGCGGAAUUCCUGGUGUAGCGGUGAAAUGCGCAGAUAUCAGGAGGAACACCGGUGGCGAAGGCGGGUCUCUGGGCAGUUCCUGACACUGAGGCACGAAGGCCAGGGGAGCAAACGGG